UACGAAGGGGGCUAGCGUUGCUCGGAAUCACUGGGCGUAAAGGGCGCGUAGGCGGGUCUUUAAGUCAGGGGUGAAAUCCUGGAGCUCAACUCCAGAACUGCCUUUGAUACUGAGGAUCUUGAGUCCGGGAGAGGUGAGUGGAACUGCGAGUGUAGAGGUGAAAUUCGUAGAUAUUCGCAAGAACACCAGUGGCGAAGGCGGCUCACUGGCCCGGUACUGACGCUGAGGCACGAAAGCGUGGGGAGCAAACAGG
rnacentral:rRNA from 1 species